rnacentral:rRNA from 1 species
GAUGAACGCUGGCGGCGUGCUUAACACAUGCAAGUCGAACGGAAAGGCCACAGCUUGCUGUGGUACUCGAGUGGCGAACGGGUGAGUAACACGUGGGUGAUCUGCCCUGUACUUCGGGAUAAGCUUGGGAAACUGGGUCUAAUACCGGAUAGGAAUCACAUGUGGGUGUGUGGUUGGAAAGCUUUUGCGGUAUGGGAUGAGCUCGCGGCCUAUCAGCUUGUUGGUGGGGUAAUGGCCUACCAAGGCGUCGACGGGUAGCCGGCCUGAGAGGGUGUACGGCCACAUUGGGACUGAGAUACGGCCCAGACUCCUACGGGAGGCAGCGGUAGGGAAUAUUGCACAAUGGGCGCAAGCCUGAUGCAGCGACGCCGCGUGGGGGAUGACGGCCUUCGGGUUGUAAACUCCUUUCGUCAGGGACGAAGCGAAAGUGACGGUACCUGGAUAAGAAGCACCGGCUAACUACGUG